AAUCAAGUGCCUUAAGGGUGUUCGGUGGAUGCCUUGGCGCUGAGAGGCGAUGAAGGACGUGCUACGCUGCGAUAAGCCGUGGGGAGCUGCGAAGAAGCUUUGAUCCGCGGAUUUCCGAAUGGGGAAACCCACCUUCGAUAGCCGGAACUCCAAGACCUUGUGUGUUGGGGUUCGACCAGAAAUGCGAGAAAUCAAACCGCGAGGUUUUGGAUUUCCGGUUAUCAAGAGAAGGUAUGAGACCUCCGAAUAAAAUAGGAGGUUUUAAGCAAACCCAGGGAACUGAAACAUCUAAGUACCUGGAGGAAAGGACAUCAAUCGAGACUCCGUUAGUAGUGGCGAGCGAACGCGGACCAGGCCAGUGAUACAUCAAAGACAAUCGGAACCUGUCAGGAAAGCAGGGCCUCAGAGGGUGAUAGCCCCGUACGAGUAAUGCGAUGAUGUAUCCACGAGUACGGCGG
rnacentral:rRNA from 1 species